rnacentral:rRNA from 1 species
GGACGAACGCUGGCGGCGUGCCUAAUACAUGCAAGUAGAACGCUGAAGAGAGGAGCUUGCUCUUCUUGGAUGAGUUGCGAACGGGUGAGUAACGCGUAGGUAACCUGCCUGGUAGCGGGGGAUAACUAUUGGAAACGAUAGCUAAUACCGCAUAACAACAGUURUUGCAUGACAGCUGUUUAAAAGAUGCAAUUGCAUCACUACCAGAUGGACCUGCGUUGUAUUAGCUAGUUGGUGAGGUAACGGCUCACCAAGGCGACGAUACAUAGCCGACCUGAGAGGGUGAUCGGCCACACUGGGACUGAGACACGGCCCAGACUCCUACGGGAGGCAGCAGUAGGGAAUCUUCGGCAAUGGGGGGAACCCUGACCGAGCAACGCCGCGUGAGUGAAGAAGGUUUUCGGAUCGUAAAGCUCUGUUGUAAGAGAAGAACGGGUGUGAGAGUGGAAAGUUCACACUGUGACGGUAUCUUACCAGAAAGGGACGGCUAACUAC